rnacentral:misc_RNA from 1 species
GAUAUACAUGACCAGUUUGGCUAUUCCAUUUUGUAGCACAUCCAUGUGUGAGAUAAGGAGGAGAUACAUUUGAAAUUCCCACUGACAUAUCUAUUCUGAGUAAUAUGCGACAAUUUGUGAAAUACAAUUGUUUGAAACAAUUUGCUCUAAGAUUUACUGCUGUUGUAUUUGCAGUUGUCGAGAGAGAGAUUUUUUUGUUAUUUUAAGUGAUGUAGCAUGUGG